GGCACGUGAUGUCCAUCCUCACGAUGGUCUUCCAAGCCCCCCGGUGAACGGGCUGUGCCGACGCUGCCAACUGGCUCAGCUGAUGCCAGGGG